UACGAAGGGGGCUAGCGUUGCUCGGAAUCACUGGGCGUAAAGGGCGCGUAGGCGGCGUUUUAAGUCGGGGGUGAAAGCCUGUGGCUCAACCACAGAAUGGCCUCGAUACUGGGACGCUUGAGUAUGGUAGAGGUUGGUGGAACUGCGAGUGUAGAGGUGAAAUUCGUAGAUAUUCGCAAGAACACCGGUGGCGAAGGCGGCCAACUGGCCCGGUACUGACGCUGAGGAGCCGAAAGCGUGGGGAGCAAACAGG
rnacentral:rRNA from 1 species